rnacentral:rRNA from 1 species
UGGUGGAGUGAUUUGUCUGCUUAAUUGCGUUAACGAACGAGACCUCAGCCUACUAAAUAGUUACGCGAAGCCCUGGCUUCGUGGCCAACUUCUUAGAGGGACCAUUGGUUUCUAGCCAAUGGAAGUUUGAGGCAAUAACA